rnacentral:tRNA from 1 species
UCAUGGCUCAGUUGGUUAGAGCGCCGCCCUGUCACGGCGGAGGUCGGGGGUUCGAGUCCCCCUGG